GCAGAUUCUGUUGGGAGAACAGAAGCGCUCUCUUGAGCACUUGAUGUUGAUUAUGAUCUUUUCAUUUGCUCAAUUUAUCACUCUGGUCACAUUAGUCAUAUUGCUGCUUUUUGGCAAUGUGGCUGUGAUAAAUCGCAUUCGUCAGCAGUAAACAAGGGCAGGAUGGGGUUGAGGCCUGUUCCAUCCCCCUCUACAUUUCCAGAUCUUUCUGCUUCCUUAAUCAGAGAUUUAAAACAGGUGUCCUUUCCAGUUAAAACUGUUUUUCUUCUCCUUUGUAUGAAACAUGCUUGUUGCAUAAUGAGAAGCACAUUUACCGCAUUACUGAUUUGUUCUUCUUUUUAUUGGAUGUUAGUUUUUUUUUUUUUUUUUUUCACUUUUCCUGGCAGGUUGUGAAGCUGGACUCCUCUUAUCAAGCUAAAUAACACCUGGAGGGAAACUUUUAACACACUUCACUUAGCUCGAUCCUCAUCAAAUCUAAACGUGUUUGGCACAAAGAGUCUGUCUUCUGGAUCCUUCUUUGCCGAGCCAUGAGUCUAUAAAUGGCACUCCAAGGAAAACAGGUUUGGAGACCAAACAGGAAAGUGCUGGAUUUGUACCAGUUUCUAUGGCAGAAAGUUCCUCCUGGAUUAAAACUUUCCUGUGGUUGGAAGAAAAAAAAAAAAAAAGAAAAACUGGCUCCCACACCCACCCACCCAGACAGUACCAUCCGCACACUGAGUCUGGUAAAGGUGUGAUAUUCCACAGUCCAGAUCUGCUAUACAAUUAAGCCGCUACUGUGAUUCAACAAAAACCGCUAGCAACUGCACCGAGCCAGCUUUUGAAACGAGGUGCUUCUAUGAUGUGUUCUUCCUAGGAAUCCAGCAGUGCCGUUCAGUGGAAAGAGAGCACCAAUCCGCAAAUACAUUAACAGGACAUUGUCGCUCCGGGACUGGGAUCUGACAACUUGUUGCAGGCCGUGAGAUGAAGUGUUGGGAUUAACCCGGUCACCAAUCAGUGCUUCAGAGGAGCGCCAAAGAGCGCCACUUAGGUGCUCCACCUUUGUCAGGAUACUCAGCCAAAAUGAGUUAAUAUCCUAGAAGAUGGGGAUGAUUUUACCAUCUGUCAGGCAAAUCCGCCUGGACAGGCUGGGCUGGGGCUUUGCUGGCAGGCAGAUGAGAGGCUGCUACCACCGAAGACUAAUUAGCGCAAAUAAGCACCUCCUGAGCUCCUCAAUCCUGUGACAACUCAAGCGAAAAAUUCAGAAGACAAAGUUGGCAACAUACAGUUAAAGCACAAUCUGUACAGAGUUUUCCUCCUUUGCUUUUCUCUGUGUUUAGCCACAUAAGAUUUAACAUACUAUUUAUGCUCCUUUCAUAUUCCAUGUUGACCACAGGAAACUUUGGGUUCUCAGUUAGUCCUGCCUUCAAAUUCCUUAAAAAAUUGACAUAAAUGAGACACUUGUUGAAUAUAUAGAUAUAAAAGUAAUGUGGAUGGCAUAGCUCAGAUAAUUUGGGUUUAAAAAACUUUUAUGGUUUACUGAGUUUUAAGUAUACUACUACUCAAUAUACUAUUCAAUACUACUUUGUAUUGAGAUCCUUCUCUGACUUUUGAUUGCAGAUGUAACAGAGGCUAGCUAGUAAGAGUUGUGCAAAUAAACCUCACUCCCCUGGCCUCAAGAGGUGCAUCAGCGAUUGAUGCUAGAGGCUGCAGCCUUGUUAGCGCUCCUGCCACCCAUGCUGGAAAUGCUGGUUCGAAUCCUGCUUGGAGCGGUGUGAGUAGAACCGGAGGGGUUUCGUUGGUGCCGUGACCCGGAUGAGAGUAACGUUUAGGGGGGUGAGUGUAGUCCACGGUGGCCAGCUAGAAAGAGUUGUGCAAAUAAACCUCACUCCCCUAGCCUCAAGACAUGCAUUGACAAUAGAGGCUGUGCUCUUUAGCGUUCUUGUUAGCGCUCCUGCCUCCCAUGCCGGAAACGCUGGUUAGAAUCCCUCUCAGAGUGGUGCGAGUAAAACUGGAGGGGUUACACAGACUUUGGAGUCUGUGCACAGUUGGAAACACAUUUGAGAUCUCCUGAAACUCUAGAGAUUACUGAGGUCUGGUUCUCUGGAGAAAGAUCUUAAGCAAAAGUUUAAAUCCAUUUAAUCUCAUUGCUGUCUAGGAGAAACAAACUAGAUCUCUUGCAUUCCCAUGGGAAGUCCUUUCUGCUGUAUGCUACUCUGCUGUCUAAGACAUAAGACACUGGAUUAAAUAGUCUAAACCACAUUUAGAAUGAAUGCUAAUGGCUAAUGUUGCCGAGCCAUGGCAUUUUCCCUCCUAAUCCUCACCACAAUGAGGAUUACACAUUUUCAGUCCAUGUUUUAUCAUUGAAUUUCAAACCUAAAAACAUGACAUUGCACAGGGAGAAUGACAGUAAUACUCAUAAAUAAUAAUAAACACUCAUUUAGCAGAUUUGGACUGUUGAUCUUAAGGUCAGCAAUAAAUGAAAACUGACCCUAUGUACUUUCUUAAUACACAUUUUUGGUCAUUUUGCAUUUUUUUACCCCUUAUUUAAUAUCCUGUUUUACUCUGAAACAUGUUGGAUUAUCAAAAUUAAAAGGGUUUAUCCCUUAAAACUCAUCUUUGAUCACCAAAGUAACAUAUUUAAAUAUUUUUUCCUGUGAAAAUUUUUUUUUGCCAUGCCUUAAAAUAGCCUGAAUGUAAAUCUUCAUCCUUGCUUCAUUCAAUAUAUGCGGAUCUAUGAAUAUGCUAAUUAGCCCCGCCUCCACUCACUCGCACAAGCUCAGAGAUCCACUCAGUCAUCUUACUGAGGUAAACGCUGCACAAUGGUAUUGCUUUUUACAACGUCGGACACAAGACGGUAAACUAAACAAAGAUGUGAAAUGUUGCCUUGACAAGUAGUUAUUUUAUUUCAGUUAGUUUCAUUAAUUCAGUCAGUCAGUUGGUCAUUCAUAGUUAACGAUAAUAGCCCUGUAAUAAAUUAAGUUAAAAAUUGCUGUUCAUUGUUCCAUGAUACUUAAUGCAUCAACUAAUGUUAAUGAAACGAGUUCUAUUGUAAAAUGUUACCUGUAUUCUCAUAUUGCCUAAUGCAGUGUACAUUCCACAAAGUUUAAGUACUAAAUAGCCACAUAUUUGUGUUUUAAAUACAGGGGAAAUGCACAUUUACUGCCUAAUUACCAACGCCUGAGGAAAGCCAGAGACAUGAAGGCUUUCCAAAAAUACAGAUAGUUUUUUCUGUGUCUGAUUAAUUCUUCCCAUGCAUCCUGCCCCAGGUAAGACAUAAUAGGGCCUGUCACAGCUCCAGCUGGAUAAUUGCGGGUUUCAGGGUGUUCUUCCCUAAACAGAUAGUGACUGAUGAGUUUUACCACAUGUUUCAUCCUAAUCAGUGACUCCAUAUAGUCCCUUGUCCCACUUAUUGUCAUUGGUCAUGGUGGAAAAAGAACAAAGCAUUUUUAGCCUGGAGGCUUUGCUUGACAUCAACACAACACAACAGCUCUUAUCUGAAAAUUAAAGAGACAUACAUAAAACUAUUUGUGCAACUAACCAUAUAAUUGUGAGCAAAAUAAAUAGGCUUCUACUCUUUUAAGAGGAAGAAGAAAUGCUUCCCACAUCUUUUGUUGUUGAUGUAUAAGGCUGCUCGUCCAAUUUGGACAGGUUGUGUGACAUGCUCUCAUCCUUGAAAUCUAAGAACAAAACUACAUAAAAGAAAUAUGAGCCCAACUACAGUAAGUUGGUUAUAAUGUGAAUUUUGAGGACUACAUAGCAUUUCAGAGAAUUAUUGACUGCUGCAAGCUUGAAAUCAAUUCAAUAGAAAAAUUUUAAUGAAAUUUAGAGAUAAGAUUAUUUUGUUAUUUUAAUAUUUAACUGAAGUGUCAUUUUUCUUGAGAUAAUCCUGUAUCCUUAUGGCAAAAAAAAUAUUAAAUUAGGCCACAUUAUA